GCCAAUCCCGGACCAUCCUAUCCUUCAAGUUCUGGGAAUCUUUACCCUCUUGAAAAAACACACAUUCUAACAAAAUGUUAUUAGGUUUAUCCUUUAAGGGGAACCUAAGCUGACGGCGAGCCAAGACAGGGUUGUAGUUAAUUCCACCACAUGUACCAAGAAGAGGCACAUUGGAGAAUUCACCACAAGAGUCAAUAAUUUGAAUGCCAUCAUACACACAGUUAU
rnacentral:lncRNA from 1 species